CUGGAGUUACCAGUAAUCGCAGAUCAGAAUGCUGCGGUGAAUGCGUUCCCGGGUCUUGUACACACCGCCCGUCACACCACGGGAGUUGGAGACGCCCGAAGCCGAUUAUCUAACCUUUUGGAAGAAGGCGUCGAAGGUGGAAUCAAUAACUGGGGUGAAGUCGUAACAAGGUAGCCGUAUCGGAAGGUGCGGCUGGAUCACCUCCUUUCUAAGGAGA
rnacentral:rRNA from 1 species